GGGGGGUUUCCGGAUAUUGGGCGUAAGAGCUCGUAGGCGGUUUGUCGCGUCUGCCGUGAAAGUCCGGGGCUCAACUCCGGAUCUGCGGUGGGUACGGGCAGACUAGAGUGAUGUAGGGGAGACUGGAAUUCCUGGUGUAGCGGUGAAAUGCGCAGAUAUCAGGAGGAACACCGAUGGCGAAGGCAGGUCUCUGGGCAUUAACUGACGCUGAGGAGCGAAAGCAUGGGGAGCGAACAGGAUUAGAUACCCUGGUAGUCCAUGCCGUAAACGUUGGGCACUAGGUGUGGGGGACAUUCCACGUUUUCCGCGCCGUAGCUAACGCAUUAAGUGCCCCGCCUGGGGAGUACGGCCGCAAGGCUAAAACUCAAAGGAAUUGACGGGGGCCCGCACAAGCGGCGGAGCAUGCGGAUUAAUUCGAUGCAACGCGAAGAACCUUACCAAGGCUUGACAUGGGCCGGACCGGGCUGGAAACAGUCCUUCCCCUUUGGGGCCGGUUCACAGGUGGUGCAUGGUUGUCGUCAGCUCGUGUCGUGAGAUGUUGGGUUAAGUCCCGCAACGAGCGCAACCCUCGUUCCAUGUUGCCAGCGCGUAAUGGCGGGGACUCAUGGGAGACUGCCGGGGUCAACUCGGAGGAAGGUGGGGACGACGUCAAAUCAUCAUGCCCCUUAUGUCUUGGGCUUCACGCAUGCUACAAUGGCCGGUACAAAGGGUUGCGAUACUGUGAGGUGGAGCUAAUCCCAAAAAGCCGGUCUCAGUUCGGAUUGGGGUCUGCAACUCGACCCCAUGAAGUCGGGGUCGCUAGUAAUCGCAGAUCAGCAACGCUGCGGUGAAUACGUUCCCGGGCCUUGUACACACCGCCCGUCAAGUCACGAAAGUUGGUAACACCCGAAGCCGGUGGCCUAACCCCUUGUGGGAGGGAGCUGUCGAAAGUGGGACUGGCGAUUGGGACUAAGUCGUAACAAGGUAACC
rnacentral:rRNA from 1 species